rnacentral:rRNA from 1 species
AUACGUAGGGGGCUAGCGUUAUCCGGAUUUACUGGGUGUAAAGGGAGCGUAGGUGGCAAGGCAAGUCAGAUGUGAAAACCCGGGGCUCAACCCCGGGACUGCAUUUGAAACUGUCUAGCUAGAGUGCAGGAGAGGUAAGUGGAAUUCCUAGUGUAGCGGUGAAAUGCAUAGAUAUUAGGAGGAACACCAGUGGCGAAGGCGGCUUACUGGACUGUAACUGACACUGAGGCUCGAAAGCGUGGGUAUC